GUGCUGCCCGGCCUGCCUCGCGCCGCGCCCCUGCACCAGCAGCCUUGCGGGAAACUGCGGAUCCCACAGGCCGCCCAGCCCGGCCGCCCGGCACCACCCCGAGCGGUGGAGCCCAGUGCACUUUGAACAGCCCAUCCACCAAGCUUUGAUUCCGCAUUUGGCAUCAACAGCAUUUUAUAUCAGCGUGGCAUAUAUCCAUCUGAAACCUCUACCAGAGGGCAGAAAUACGGACUCACCUUGCUUAUAACAACAGAUCCUGAGCUCAUAAAAUAAUUCAAUCAUGUAGUGGACAAGUGAAAGAUUGGUUAUACAAGUGUUCAGUUCAGAAACUGGUGGUAUUCAUCUCAAAUAUUGAAAGCGGUGAAGUCCUUGAAAGGUGGAAGUUUGAUAUUGAGUGCGACAAGACUGCAAAAGAUGACAGGUAAGUAUGAAUUAAACUGCUUCCACCUUCAUAGAU